CCCGCAGACCGCCUUAUCGUCGUUCGCUUUAUGCGGAGGGAGGAAAGUCCGGACACCACAGGGAAGCAUAGCGGGUAACGCCCGUCAUCGUGAGCAAUCAGGGUAGGACAAGUGCAACAGAAAGUAUGUACAGGUAAUGCUGUAGUGAAACCAGGUAAACUCUAUGCGGUGAAAUAUCAAGUAAAUCAGCAUUUAAGGGCGUCUCGUUCGUUGCUGAAGGGUAGAUAGCUUGAGCUUAUGAGUAAUUGUAAGUCUAGAUAAAUGAUAAGGUAUUGUUAGCAAUAACAAGAACAGAAUCCGGCUUACAGGUCUGCAUUUUUU
rnacentral:RNase_P_RNA from 1 species